rnacentral:rRNA from 1 species
GACGAGCCACCCAAACGUUAUUCGGAAUUACUGGGCGUAAAGCGUGCGCAGGCGGUUUGUUAAGUCUGCUGUGAAAUCCCCGAGCUCAACUUGGGAAUUGCAGUGGAUACUGGCAGGCUGGAGUAUGGUAGAGGAAGGUGGAAUUCCCGGUGUAGCAGUGAAACGCGUAGAGAUCGGGAGGAACACCAGUGGCGAAGGCGGCCUUCUGGACCAAUACUGACGCUCAUGCACGAAAGCGUGGGGAGCAAACAGG